UGCAGAUGAUGCUUUUCUCACGAUGGUCUUCCAAGCUCCAGCAGCUCUGACGAUAUUGCCUUUGGCAAUCACUGAUGCAGUUUU